rnacentral:rRNA from 1 species
GUCGAGAAUCUUUCACAAUGGGGGCAACCCUGAUGGAGCGAUGCCGCGUGGAGGAUAAGGUCUUCGGAUUGUAAACUCCUGUCAUCUGGGAGUAAGACCUGACGGUGAAUAGCCGGCAGGGUUGAUAGUACCAGAAGAGGAAGGGACGGCUAACUUCGUGCCAGCAGCCGCGGUAAUACGAAGGUCCCAAGCGUUGUUCGGAAUCACUGGGCGUAAAGGGAGCGUAGGCGGCGUGGUAAGUCAGAUGUGAAAUCCCGGGGCUCAACCCCGGAACUGGAUCCGGUACUGCCAUGCGUGAGGGUUGGAGAGGUAGCUGGAAUUCUCGGUGUAGCAGUGAAAUGCGUGGAUAUCGAGAGGAACACUCGUGGCGAAGGCGAGUUACUGGACAGCAUCUGACGCUGAGGCACGAAGGCCAGGGGAGCGAAAGGGAUUAGAAACCCUUGUAGUCC